rnacentral:rRNA from 1 species
UACGGGGGGUGCGAGCGUUGUCCGGAUUUAUUGGGCGUAAAGAGCUCGUAGGCGGCUUGUUGCGUCGACUGUGAAAACCCGCGGCUCAACCGUGUGGCUUGCAGUCGAUACGGGCAGGCUAGAAUUCGGUAGGGGAGACUGGAAUUCCUGGUGUAGCGGUGAAAUGCGCAGAUAUCAGGAGGAACACCGGUGGCGAAGGCGGGUCUCUGGGCCGAUAUUGACGCUGAGGAGCGAAAGCGUGGGGAGCGAACAGG